UACGUAGGGGGCAAGCGUUGUCCGGAUUUAUUGGGCGUAAAGCGCGUGUAGGCGGCCAGGUAGGUCCGCUGUGAAAACCCGAGGCUCAACCUCGGGACGUCGGCGGAAACCAUCUGGCUAGAGUCCGGAAGAGGAGAGUGGAAUUCCCGGUGUAGCGGUGAAAUGCGCAGAUAUCGUAAGGAAGACCAGUGGCGAAGGCGGGUCUCUGGACAGUUCCUGAC
rnacentral:rRNA from 1 species